AAUAAAAUGGCUGAGGUUAAUAAGCGAUAAAUUGUAAAUUUAUUUACGAAGAAGUCUUCUUUUAUUA
rnacentral:tRNA from 1 species